UACGGAGGGGGCUAGCGUUGUUCGGAAUUACUGGGCGUAAAGCGCGCGUAGGCGGAUCUGCAAGUCGGGGGUGAAAUCCCGAGGCUCAACCUCGGAACUGCCUUCGAUACUGCGGGUCUCGAGUCCGGGAGAGGUGAGUGGAAUUCCUAGUGUAGAGGUGAAAUUCGUAGAUAUUAGGAAGAACACCAGUGGCGAAGGCGCUCAC
rnacentral:rRNA from 1 species